GUGGAUUAGUUACCCCGGUAGUCCACGCCGUAAACGAUGUCAACUAACCGUUGGGUUCUUAAAGAACUUAGUGGUGGAGCUAACGUAUUAAGUUGACCGCCUGGGGAGUACGGCCGCAAGGCUAAAACUCAAAUGAAUUGACGGGGGCCCGCACAAGCGGUGGAGCAUGUGGUUUAAUUCGAUGCAACGCGAAGAACCUUACCUACCCUUGACAUCCAGAGAAUCUGUUAGAGAUAGUAGAGUGCCUUCGGGAACUCUGAGACAGGUGCUGCAUGGCCGUCGCCAACU
rnacentral:rRNA from 1 species